rnacentral:rRNA from 1 species
ACACGUAAGGGGCAAGCGUUGUUCGGAAUUAUUGGGCGUAAAGGGCGUGUAGGCGGUUCUGCAAGCCUGGUGUUAAAUACCACAGCUUAACUGUGGGAAAGCGCUGGGAACUGCGGGACUAGAGUUUAGGAGGGGAAGCUAGAAUUCCAGGUGUAGGGGUGAAAUCUGUAGGUAUCUGGAAGAAUACCAGUGGCGAAGGCGAGCUUCUGGCCAUAGACUGACGCUGAUGCGCGAAAGCGUGGGGAGCGAACAGGAUUAGAUACCCUGGUAGUCCACGCUGUAAACGAUGUGCACUAGGUGUUGGGCAGGAUUGUUCAGUGCCGUAGCAAACGCGUUAAGUGCACCGCCUGGGGAGUAUGCUCGCAAGGGUGAA